UACGUAGGGUGCGAGCGUUGUCCGGAAUUAUUGGGCGUAAAGAGCUCGUAGGCGGUCUGUCGCGUCUGCUGUGAAAUCCCGAGGCUCAACCUCGGGCCUGCAGUGGGUACGGGCAGACUAGAGUGCGGUAGGGGAGAUUGGAAUUCCUGGUGUAGCGGUGGAAUGCGCAGAUAUCAGGAGGAACACCGGUGGCGAAGGCGGUUCUCUGGGCAUGAUCUGACGCUGAGGAGCGAAAGUGUGGGGAGCGAACAGG
rnacentral:rRNA from 1 species